UACGUAGGGGGCAAGCGUUAUCCGGAUUUACUGGGUGUAAAGGGAGCGUAGACGGCCAGACAAGUCUGAAGUGAAAAUCCAGCGCUUAACGUUGGAAGUGCUUUGGAAACUGCCGGGCUAGAGUGCAGGAGGGGCAGGCGGAAUUCCUAGUGUACCGGUGAAAUGCGUAGAUAUUAGGAGGAACACCAGUGGCGAAGGCGGCCUGCUGGACCGCAACUGACGUUGAGGCUCGAAGGCGUGGGGAGCAAACAGG
rnacentral:rRNA from 1 species